UGCAUGGGAUAACACAUUUGCCAAAGAUAUUUCAGAUAAGCAUCUAAUCUUCAACACGUACAGAGAACUCAUACAACUUAAAAAAGGAAGAUAAAUGAUCCAAUAAAAAAAAUAGGCAAAGGACCUAAAUAAACACUUUUCAAAAG